CCUAUAAUGCAAGUCGAGCGGGGUUGWUUAGAAGCUUGCUUCUAAACAACCUAGCGGCGGAACGGGUGAGUAACACGUAGGCAACCUGCCCACAAGACAGGGAUAACUACCGGAAACGGUAGCUAAUACCCGAUACAUCCUUUUCCUGCAUGGGAGAAGGAGGAAAGACGGAGCAAUCUGUCACUUGUGGAUGGGCCUGCGGCGCAUUAGCUAGUUGGUGGGGUAAAGGCCUACCAAGGCGACGAUGCGUAGCCGACCUGAGAGGGUGAUCGGCCACACUGGGACUGAGACACGGCCCAGACUCCUACGGGAGGCAGCAGUAGGGAAUCUUCCGCAAUGGGCGAAAGCCUGACGGAGCAACGCCGCGUGAGUGAUGAAGGUUUUCGGAUCGUAAAGCUCUGUUGCCAGGGAAGAACGUCUUGUAGAGUAACUGCUACAAGAGUGACGGUACCUGAGAAGAAAGCCCCGGCUAACUACGUGCCAGCAGCCGCGGUAAUACGUAGGGGGCAAGCGUUGUCCGGAAUUAUUGGGCGUAAAGCGCGCGCAGGCGGCUCUUUAAGUCUGGUGUUUAAUCCCGAGGCUCAACUUCGGGUCGCACUGGAAACUGGGGAGCUUGAGUGCAGAAGAGGAGAGUGGAAUUCCACGUGUAGCGGUGAAAUGCGUAGAUAUGUGGAGGAACACCAGUGGCGAAGGCGACUCUUCUGGGCUUAACUACGCUAGGCCAAAGCGC
rnacentral:rRNA from 1 species